rnacentral:rRNA from 1 species
GACGAACGCUGGCGGCGUGCUUAACACAUGCAAGUCGAACGGUAAGGCCCUUCGGGGUACACGAGUGGCGAACGGGUGAGUAACACGUGGGUGAUCUGCCGUGCACUUCGGGAUAAGCCUGGGAAACUGGGUCUAAUACCGGAUAGGACCACUGCCUGCAUGGGUGGUGGUGGAAAGCUUUUGCGGGGUGGGAUGGGCCCGCGGCCUAUCUGCUUGUGGGUGGGGUGAUGGCCUACCAAGGCGACGACGGGUAGCCGGCCUGAGAGGGUGACCGGCCACACUGGGACUGAGAUACGGCCCAGACUCCUACGGGAGGCAGCAGUGGGGAAUAUUGCACAAUGGGCGCAAGCCUGAUGCAGCGACGCCGCGUGAGGGAUGACGGCCUUCGGGUUGUAAACCUCUUUCAGCACCGACGAAGCGCAAGUGACGGUAGGUGCAGAAGAAGGACCGGCCAACUACGUGCCAGCAGCCGCCGUAA